rnacentral:misc_RNA from 1 species
AUCGGUGGUUCGGGUGGAAGCAAGAAAUUGAUGGAUUCAAUUCAGAAAUUGGAAGUAAAUUGGAAAUUGAUGAUUCUUGUUGUUGCUGCUGCUGGAAUCGCUGCUGUUGUUUCUUUGUUGUUCUUCGUUUCCACAAAAUCUGCAAUGGCUUCUCCAAUCAUCCAUGUGGCCACAUGAAUUUGCCUGCUCAUAACGUGUGCUUCUGACCCACUUCGG